rfam:Erinaceus europaeus unplaced genomic scaffold scaffold00024, whole genome shotgun sequence
UCCAGUGGUUGUCAGCUGCCAGGCUGCCUGGUGCCUUGGCCAGUGUUACACUGCUGGGAGAGCAAGUGCUGCCUUUCUUGGGGUCUGGCUCCGAGCACUGUUUUGGUGUGGGGGCUGCGUACCUUGGAGCAGUGUGUUGCACCUCUGAGAGUGGAGUAGCUCCUCCUUGUGGAGUUGGUCCUAGUCUGGGUGCAAACAGU